UAGGGAAUCUUCGGCAAUGGACGAAAGUCUGACCGAGCAACGCCGCGUGAGUGAAGAAGGUUUUCGGAUCGUAAAACUCUGUUGUUAGAGAAGAACAAGGACGUUAGUAACUGAACGUCCUCUGACGGUAUCUAACCCGAAAGCCACGGCUAACUACGUGCCAGCAGCCGCGGUAAUACGUAGGUGGCAAGCGUUGUCCGGAUUUAUUGGGCGUAAAGCGAGCGCAGGCGGUUUCUUAAGUCUGAUGUGAAAGCGCCCGGCUCAACCGGGGAGGGUCAUUGGAAACUGGGAGACUUGAGUGCAGAAGAGGGGAGUGGAAUUCGAUGUGUAGCGGUGAAAAGCGUAGAUAUAUGGAGGAACACCAGUGGCGAAGGCGGCUCUCUGGUCUGUAACUGACGCUGAGGCACGAAGGCGUGGGGAGCAAACAAG
rnacentral:rRNA from 1 species